rnacentral:rRNA from 1 species
AUUGAACGCUGGCGGCAGGCUUAACACAUGCAAGUCGAGCGGAGAGAGGUAGCUUGCUACCGAUCUUAGCGGCGGACGGGUGAGUAAUGCUUAGGAAUCUGCCUAUUAGUGGGGGACAACAUUUCGAAAGGAAUGCUAAUACCGCAUACGUCCUACGGGAGAAAGCAGGGGAUCUUCGGACCUUGCGCUAAUGGAUGAGCCUAAGUCGGAUUAGCUAGUUGGUGGGGUAAAGGCCUACCAAGGCGACGAUCUGUAGCGGGUCUGAGAGGAUGAUCCGCCACACUGGGACUGAGACACGGCCCAGACUCCUACGGGAGGCAGCAGUGGGGAAUAUUGGACAAUGGGCGCAAGCCUGAUCCAGCCAUGCCGCGUGUGUGAAGAAGGCCUUAUGGUUGUAAAGCACUUUAAGCGAGGAGGAGGCUACUUUAGUUAAUACCUAGAGAUAGUGGACGUUACUCGCAGAAUAAGCACCGGCUAACUCUGUGCCAGCAGCCGCCGUAACAC